GACAGAGGUGCCGAGCGUUAGGCGGAAUCACUGGGCUUAAAGCGUGUGUAGGCGGACCGUUAAGUACCUUGUGAAAUCCCCCGGCUCAACCGGGGAACGGCUGGGUAUACUGGCGGUCUUGAGCCAUCCAGGGGCAGUCGGAACAGACGGUGGAGCGGUGAAAUGCGUAGAUAUCGUCUGGAACGCCGAAGGUGAAAACAGACUGCUGGGGAUGAGCUGACGCUGAGACACGAAGCCAGGGGAGCGAACGGG
rnacentral:rRNA from 1 species